GGCACGGUGACUUAGUGGUUAGUGAGCUUGCCUCACACCCCAGGGUUGAGGUUUCAAUUCCCGCCAUGGCCC